rnacentral:tRNA from 1 species
GCUAUAAACUUAAUGGUAUGCAAUAACACUUGAAAGUACCUAUCUUAGAGACUCAAAAUCGUGUGCCGCAAGGCGUGUGGGUUCGAGUCCCACCUUUGGCACCA